AGAUGGGAGGGCAAUCUGGCUGUGACAUCUGUCACCCCAUUGAUCACCAGGGUUGAUUUGGCUGAUCUGACUGGCUAGGUAGAUGGCCCCUUCCUCCCUCACCGCUCCAUGUGCAUCCCCCUUGAAACUGCACACUCAGUCAGAGAUGGAUCUUUCCCAAUAGAGGGGGACCUUUCUUCCAUCAAGGGUAUAUGGAUAACUGGGCUCCCCGAUAGAACCUCCAAACAAAAUUUCAAGGUCCAUUUGUUGGAGAACAUACGGUAGUCAAGCUUCCAAGACCCCAGACGCAUACAAAUGAGGCACUCCAAGUGGCAAAUGCCUUUCUCU
rnacentral:snRNA from 1 species